UACGGAGGGUGCGAGCGUUGUCCGGAAUCACUGGGCGUAAAGGGCGCGUAGGUGGCGCGAGUAGUCAACGGUGAAAGCCCGGGGCUCAACCCCGGGAGGCGGGUGGAUACUGCUGAGCUCGAGUCCGGAAGAGGAGUGUGGAAUUCCUGGUGUAGCGGUGAAAUUCGUAGAUAUUCGCAAGAACACCAGUGGCGAAGGCGGCCGACUGGUCCGGUUCUGACGCUGAGGCGCGAAAGCGUGGGGAGCAAACAGG
rnacentral:rRNA from 1 species